CAAAAGACGAGAGUAAUCAGAGGGGCAAACCAGGUUGGGAAGGUUUCUGGCAAUAUCCCUGACCCAGGCCCCAGGGAGGCAGCACACUUCCCUAUGGGUAGGGUCAGGCUGAGAUAUAGGGCCUUCUGUUCCCCUGAGAAGGGUGUCACCUACAACAAUGACCCUUUCUUUCUUGGUGGAGACAGUCUUGAGGCAUGGAGUCAACUUCCUUGCCCUAGGCAACCUCCUGGGUGGACUUUUGACCACAUCCUCACCCACCAGUCUCUCCAGCUCCAAGGCCUCAAACCUGUUGUGUAAGGGCACCUGGGAAGGCUAGGCU